UCCUAGUUAACCUAGGCAGUCUCAUUAGAGUUCCCACCUUCACGUGUUGGCAACUAAUGACAAGGGUUGCGCUCGUUGCGGGACUUAACCCAACACCUCACGGCACGAGCUGACGACAGCCAUGCAGCACCUGUGCAGAGGCCCCGAAGGGAGAUACCGUUUCUGGUACUGUCCUCUGCAUGUCAAGCCUGGGUAAGGUUCUUCGCGUUGCAUCGAAUUAAACCACAUGCUCCACUGCUUGUGCGGGUCCCCGUCAAUUCUUUUGAGUUUCACCCUUGCGAGCGUACUCCCCAGGCGGUAUACUUAACGCUUUUGCUCCGGCAAGGAACCCCUUGCAGGGUCCCCUACUUAGUAUCCAUCGUUUAGGGCGUGGACUAC
rnacentral:misc_RNA from 1 species